rnacentral:rRNA from 1 species
AUGGCCGUAGCUCGGAGGACCCUGGUUGCACUGCUCGCCACCGUUUGCAUUGCCAUCUCCUCGGCCGCCGCGGCGACCAGCGUUAACACCACCGACUUCGUAGGCUGUCUCGCCGUCCACCUUCCUCCGGGGAUCGUCUACACGCAGUCGUCGGAGUCCUACCCGUCCGUCCUCGAGUUCUCCAUCAAGAACCUCCGGUUCGUCACGCCGGCCACCCCGACGCCCCUCGUCAUCGUCAAGGCCACCCACGCCACACACGUCAGGAUGACCGUGCGCUGCGGCGCGGCGCACGGCGUCCGCGUGCGCCCGCGCAGCGGUGGCCAUGACUACGAGGGGCUCUCCUACCGCUCCCUCGACGCGGCUCGCCCUUUCGCCGUCGUCGACCUGGCGGCGCUGCGCGCGAUCCGCGUCGACGUCCGGAGCAGGUCGGCGUGGGUGGAGUCCGGAGCCACGCUUGGGGAGCUUUACUACGGCAUCGCCAACAAGAGCGCGCGUCUCGGGUUCCCCGCCGGUGUCGGCCCGACGGUGGGCGUCGGCGGGCACCUCAGCGGCGGCGGCUUCGGUCUGAUGCUACGGAAGCACGGCCUCGCCGCGGAUCAUGUCGUCGACGCCGUCAUGGUGGAUGCCAAGGGGAGGCUCCUGGACACGCCAUGGGGGAGGACCACUUCUGGGCCAUCCGGGGCGGCGGGGGCGGGAGCUUCGGCAUCGUGGUGUCCUGGAAGCUCCGGCUGGUGCGCGUGCCGGCGACCGUCACCGUGUUCACCGUCCACCGUCCAAGAAACCAAUCCGCCAGCGAUCUCCUCACCAAGUGGCAGCACGUGGCGCCGGCCCUGCCCCGCGACAUCAUCCUCCGGGUGGUCGUGCAGAACCAGGACGCGUAGUUCGAGUCCCUGUACCUCGGCAGGUGCACCAGCGUCGUCGCGACGAUGA